CUCCAACUCUAUGGGAGUAAGAUGCUUCUUGCUUCAGCAGGCACCUGAACUCAGUGCCUGCCAGCCAACCCUGACCUCCUGACCUCCUGACCUCCUGACCUCCUGACCUCCUGACCACUAAGAAGUGUCAGAAAUGACAGAGAGGUUUUACAUAAGAUAACUGAAUAAAAUGGCUGCCUAAACAAGAUCUCAACAAGGAUAGCAACAAUAGACAAGCUAAUGUGAAAAAGAGAUAUAAAGGAGCGCAUCCCCC